ACACGGCUGAUGAGUCCCAAACAAGACGAAACGACUGUCCAGUGU
rnacentral:hammerhead_ribozyme from 1 species